rnacentral:rRNA from 1 species
GUCUACGGCCAUGCCACCGUGAACAAGCCUGAUCCCAUCUGAUCUCAGAAACUAAGCAGGGUCGGGCCUGCUUAGUACUUGGAUGGGAGACCACCUAGGAAGACCAGGUACUGUAGGCA